rnacentral:rRNA from 1 species
UACGGAGGGUGCGAGCGUUGUCCGGAAUCAUUGGGCGUAAAGAGCUCGUAGGCGGUCUGUCGCGUCGAAUGUGAAAACCCGGGACUCAACUCCGGGCCUGCAUUCGAUACGGGCAGACUAGAGUUCGGUAGGGGAGACUGGAAUUCCUGGUGUAGCGGUGAAAUGCGCAGAUAUCAGGAGGAACACCGGUGGCGAAGGCGGGUCUCUGGGCCGAUACUGACGCUGAGGAGCGAAAGCGUGGGGAGCGAACAGG